AGGGUGAAGGGGGGUUGGUGGUGGCCCGAGCUCCCUGGUGGCCAGAGGACUGGCCCGACUAGGUACCAGCAUACUCUUUUGUCCGGCACAGCUGUGCUCCAUACCCACAGUGCCACCGCGCCUCUUGUUCCUCUUCUCUCCACCGCACACGCUGCUCUGUUCCGCCUGCCUAAGGUUUUCAUUCCUAUUUCUAUACCUUGACUUUCAGGGAGUAAAAGCACAGUUUUGCCUAAAAAGUAUAGUAUCUUUCUCAUGCUGCUAAAGUUACACAGACCUGGUGACCUAAGCAGCAGUGAUUAUUUUUGUCCACAGUACCGAAGGAUAGAAGUACAGGGUCAGGGUGUCAGCUGGUUGGCUUAGUCUAAGGCUGCAACAGAGAAUUGAUUCGUGGCUUUGCUCCUUCCUGAAGGCUGUUUGGCAAUCUUUGGUGUUUUUGGCUUGUAGAUGUGUUACUCUGGUCUCUGCCUUCAUCUUCAUAUGCUUUCCCUUUACAUGCUGUCUGUCUCUGUCCAGAUGUCCUUGUUUAUAAGCAUAUAAGUGAUAUUGGAAUAGAAGCAACUCUAUGAAUUCUUCAGAAUUUGAUCUUUUGCAAAGACUCUAUUUCCAGAUAAAGUCAUGUUCACUGGAACUAGAGGUUAGGGCAUCAUCAUCUAAGAGGAUAAAAUUCAAUCCAUUAACAGUAACUUGUGAGAUAGUAUACUUAAAAACUCAUUAGUAGUGGUUUUAUAUAUAAGUUUGAAGUUUGUCAAAACAUUGUUAUAAUUAUAUCGGUGUAUGCCAAUUGAUGAGUCACAUAUGAAUAUUUGUUUUUGAGACAGGGCUUGUCCAUUCUUACAAAAACUCUAUAUACACAUAAUUAAAAGGAAUUUUCUAUUUGGGCUGACAAUUUCCCCAGGAUCUGUAGACUAAUAAAAAGCCCAACACCAGGUAUGAGUGUUGAAUUGUUGGCCACUGUUGAAUUGUUGGCCACUAUUGUCCGAAAGACUCCUAAAACAUUAUAGGCUAUUGCUGUUGCCCCUGGCUACCCCCAAAGGCAGAAAGUAAGCCCCUAUUGCUGAACACAUCAGACACUUCAGACACAGGACCAGAGGAUCCAAGCUGCCUGCAAUCUGAAAGUCUCUUCCCUGAGGACUAGCUUGUAUGGUAUCAGAAAGUGCCACACAUACUUCCAAAGGAGGAAAGCAAACAACAGUCCUAUCCACACCCAGAUAUGACACGUAUGAACCAUAACAAUGACCCGAAUUGCAUGUUAACACUGAGAGUACAGUAGCAGCAGGCAUACCUUGUUGAUAACCAACAGCUCUGUAAUUGGACUUAAGGCCCACUCGACAGGAGAGGAACCCAGCCAACUUUUCAGGGCCAGUGAAGUCAUGGGUCUUGGAGGAGAACUUACAACCACCACUUUUCUAAACCAGCACAAUCCCUAACUACAUUCUAAAUAUUUGUCCUUAUACUCAUAGGUAAGUGUAGUUCUAGCCCCACAUCAAGGAAACUUCUCUUUGAAACAUAUGGAGACCAUUACAGAAAACCACAAGCAAUCAAAAUACAGAGUUGUGGGCUUAGUCUCAAUUGAUAACAUCUACAAUGCAACUCUUACAUUUAGUAUCUUUCCUAUAUCUUUAACCAGAAAAGCAUGACACAUGGCUCAAAGAUAGACAUUAUUAAUACUUCUGAAUCAUCACAUAAUACUUGUCAAGUUCUUGACACACUUUUUCACUGAAGAUUAUGUUACACAUGUUUUUAUAAAAUAAGUUAGAUCCCACAGUACUCUAAAUAUACAUCUGAACGGAAGGUCCAUUGGGUAGCUAACCCGACGGUCUUUGGUUGUGUCACUGCAUUUCGUCGUUAGGUUGAGCUAGCCUUGUCUUGUGUGACGCAGCUCUUGGCCACCAGUCUUGUCCCUCCUACGUUCAGGCUGCUGCCAAGGCAUUUUCAAUGAUCACGUUGUUCUCCUGGCUCUUCUCUGUGAGCACAGAGGUCUAGCUUGCUUGUCUAUUGGGCACUUCCCAGUCCUUCUCAUGCCAUCUUCUCCUUUCCCCAAAGGCCCCUGAUGUUUCAGAACACUAUGUAGUCUUUUUCACUGCCCCAACUUCUCACCUCUCCUGCACAGAUGACCUUUGUCCCAUUUCUUCCUCUUUCCGGCUAGUGCUUUCUUAGUAUUUGUCUCAAGUGGCAUUUCCCUCUGAAGACUUGUAAGCCAGAUUUGCUUUCUUUUCAUAUCUGUAGUAUUAUGUAUAAAACUUAUCUUAGAACAGAUUACAGAAUGAUAUAGAAUCCUGUUUUCAUUCUUACUAGACUUUAAAAAUAACAUGGUUAAUUUAUUCUUUGAGAAUUUAAUACCAAAUGUAUACAAUAUUCUGAUCAUACAGACUCUUUUGUUCAGUGCUCUGCCAGGUAUUGUAGAAAUUGGAAACCAAAGGGAGAACCAUCUUUAGAGUUUGUAGCCUAGAAGAGGACUCCCAAUUUUAAUGACUUGGAGGAUGGUGGAGAGGGACAUUAUGAAUACUUUGUUGAUAAAGAGAAUAUACCUGAAAAGCCUUUAAACAUGUAAUUGUAACUGAACAUGUUUUUACAGUGCUUUAUAGCUAACAGUUUAUUUAUUUGCAGGUGGCCAUGGAUUUGCAUCACAGGUUGCAGCAGAAGGUUUGGAUGCUCUUCACCUGUGCCUUCAAGAGGAACCCCGGGCUUCGUUUAUGCUCACUGCUAUGUUCCAGUAUGACACCCCACUUUUCCACUGGACUCUUCCUGCUCACGCUGAGAAGCUUGGAUAUGAUUUGGCCUUUUGUUUUUAUAAUAAGCUGUUGUUGAGGAAGGAGCUUUGACAAUAGAAGUAACCAACUAGCAGGUCCAUUGCCACUGUUGAAAUCAGCUGGAGACUCAUCGCUGCUGACGACAGUGCAUGUCCAUCAGCUGACGUGGCAGCAUUGUGACCAGCAUGGGUAGAGCAAGACCGCUUCACGGCUGGAAGCCACUGUAAGAAGCCCCUGGCUUCUAGGUGGUCUUAACUGCCUGCCUACAGCCUCGUCUCAGUUGAGAUUUCCUCUUCCCAGAUGACUACAGCUUGUGUGUCAAGUGGACUUACUAUGAGCCAGCACGAUGUCUUUUCUCAGAAUCCAUAAACUCACCAGCAACAGAAGACAAAACCAAACCAAACAUUAGAGAAGAACCUCAAAUGAGAAAGAAUAACAAAUGGAAAAGAGGAGUGACAUGUGCACAGCUGUGAGGCGUGAGCAUCGAAGCCACGCGCGCGCGACAUCACCACCCCAAAGGUGUCCACUGUGAGACCGUCCAGGAAGACAACUCAAACUGUAUCAGUGGAUACUUAGAUCUACUAAUCACAAAUGGAAUUCCAGGGAAGAUUCUAUAAAAGUCCUCACCUUGAAAUGCUUUAUCAUCCUAAGAAGUUUGGACUUCAUCCUGAAAGCAAGUAAAUGAUGAAUGAGACAGUUCUAGUUGCAAUAUGGAGAAUGGAGUGAACAGAAUAAUGCUGGAGACAUUGAUACAAAUUAGGCCCAUAGGUGAGAGAUGAAAAGAACUUGAAUUAGGGUAGAUGGUAGGAAUAGAGAGACUUUGAGAUAUUUAUGGGAUAGAUGAAUUGGGACUUUAAUGACUGGUUUGCUACAUGUGGAGCAGGAAUUAAGGUUGAUAGACAGGUGAGACCAGGGCACCACUAUGUAGUGGUGCUUGCAUGAAGUAUGAGGGCUGAGAAUAUAAAAGGGGAUGUGUCAGCCAGUUCAUAAGAAUGGGCAGUUGAUUGAGUGGCUCACCCACUUUUGUAAGUUUGUGUGGUGAGGAAAUCAUGAGUUCACAUAGAUUUAUUUUAUCAUUCAGAGCAAAGUAAACUUUAUGAUCUUUGUGUUUUUAUGAGUUCCCAAAGGCCUGUGAUGCAGAGUGAGGCCCAUUUAGAUGAUGUUCAGACUCUGUGUACUUCUGAUUUCUAAGAGGUUACUUGCAAAUUUAUUCACCCUUGUUUUGGCAGGUGACAUAGUCUUGGAAUCCUACUCUGGGUGCAAAUGUAUCCUACCCAACGGGAUGCCUUCUCUGAGACACAUAGCAACACCAUGUACCAUGCACUGGUUUCCCAUAGUAGUAUAAUGGUUUCUGUUCUAAAUAGUGUGAAUUUAAUAUAAGUAAACAUUUUCCAUAGAUACUAAAAUGUUGAUAAUAAUAUUCAGUAUAGUUUAUAGAAGUUAGGUAAAAGAAAAAUCUAUGAACAUUGGCUAUGUUAAAUGAUACCCUGACAUUUAAGGCAACAUUCAUGUGUCAGAGUCAAUACUUUACUCGUUACAGGCUGAAUUGGUCUAGGUUUCCUCUUGUGCUAGAGACUGGCCUCACCACUGUGACUGCUGUCUGUGUUAGUCUCCAACAGAAGUAAAACACAAAUGACAAACGUGAGCCACCUCUAUAGUUAGAAACAUUCUGGAAUCUGUUUUAUAAAAGGAGAGUGAAACAGGUGAGAUAAAUUUUAAUGAUAUAUUUUUAUCUAGCCCAAUAUAUAAGAAUAUUCUCUUAACAUGAAUUUCAACAUAAAUACUUUGUGCUUUUUUAUUUUAAACUUUGAAAUACCGUGUAUAUCACAGUCUUGUGAGAAGCUCCAAUUUGAACCAGAUACAUUAUAAGCACUCAGUUGCCUUAUGUGUCUACUGAAUACCAUAUUGAGCAGAGCAGAUCUAGACUUCAAGAACCGUGAAUAAUAUUUCAUUAUAUUUGUGGAAUAUAAGUUUGUUUUGGGUGUUAAAAGACUAAACACUGUAACAUAUUUUAUCUUAUACAAUCUAAUUUUUUAAAAAUAUUUUAUCAACAGAAUUUCAUAGAACAUAUUUUGAUCAUAUUCACUCACACUCCUCCCCCAACUCUUUCCAGAUUUCACUCCUACUUCCCAGUUUCCUUAGUUCUGCUGCCUCUUCUCUGACGGUCCUGGAGCCUCGAGGCAGGGUUGUGGUGCAGAUGCCCCGCUUGUGGCCGGCCGCCACACCGAUAUUUAUUCUCCCCACUUUGACCAGUUUCUGUGUUGGUCAUCAAACACUGCACAAAGAAACAUCUCUGACAGGUCGAGAGGUGCACUAAUAUGUGGGUAUGGAGAUGCAAAUUUAGAGGGUGGUUUGAAACUGUGUCCCUUUGCUAGAAUAACAUUAGUUAGUUCACCCCUGGAGCCUGUGGGCUCCCUAACUGUAGGCUCUUGGUCAGGUUAACAGUACCAAGCAUGUAUUUUUUCUAGUGGGUCUGGCCUUAAAUACAAUCAGGAGGCAGUUAGCUACUUCCAAAACAUUCAUGACACUAUUUAAUUCAUGGACAUGACUAGAAUUCAAGAACAGCAAAUCAUUUCAUUAUAGCUGUCGAAUAUAAGUUUGUUUUGUGUAUUAAAAGACACAUAAAAUUUCAAUUUAAUUAAAUUUCAAAACCAAUCUAAUGUUAAAGACAACUAACACUACAAUGAAAAUAACAAACAACUACAAUAUUUAUAUAAUAUUUCCCCCUGAAGAGUGUGUUUUACUUACAAUCAGAUAUAUAUUGCUGUAUCUAUGGGGAGAACCUUGGGAAGUGAAUUGGCCAAUGUGAUCUAUCAUUGGUACGACACUCUAGAAUUUCUUUUAAGCAGAUUAAUAACUUUUAAUAACUUUAAAGCAGGUUAGGCACCGAAGACAGUUAAAAUGUUUCAAUUCAAUGUACAUAUUUUAUCUUUAAGGAAAAUACUAUGUGUUAGAAGAAUUAAUUGUUACUUUUUACUAUUUUUAUUUGUGCAUAUUAAUUGUACAAAAGAAUAGGUUUCAUGAUGACAUUUUAGUACAUAUGUGCCAUGUUCUUGUCUCCCUCAGUGACCUCCACUUAUUCGUCUGCUCCCUCUUACUGAUCCUCUUUCUCUCUUCAACUAUUUUAUGUUAAAAAAUAUAGUUUGGACAUUUAAAAAACCAUAAUGUUUGUUUUUCAGAGUCUGGCUUAUUUCACUUAACAUGAUGGUCUCUAGUCCUAUCCACUUUCUAUAACUCUAUUCUUAUUUAUGGUAGAAUAAAAUUCCAUUGUGUGUAGCUGCAUUGUCUUUACUGAUUUAUGUAUUGAUUUAGACCGAUCCCUUGGCUCGUCUCUUGUAAACAGUGCCACAACAAACACAAGCAUGCGGGCAUCUUGGUGGAACGUCGAGUUUCCAUCCAGUAUCUACCAUGGAGUGGUAUAGCGGAUCAAACAGCUCUUCUGUCGUCAGUUUUUCUGAGGAAACUUGAUACUGAUUUCCAUAACGGCUACUCUAAUUUACAUUCCUAACAAUAAUAUAUAACGCCCCCAACGUGUGUGUGUGUGUGUGUGUG